UGUCCUUUCACUUUGCAAUGACUAUUCCCGAGACGAGGUGCUGCAGUAGGGGUGGCCUCCCUCCUCUGUGCUCAGUGGGGGCAAAAGCAACUGCUGGUGCCUGAUUUCUAAUGUUCUCCACAGCACCUAGCUGUUUCAGAUUUUAAUCUACUUCUUUUAUGCCCUUCACAGGACCUAAUAGAAGCUCCAGACCCAUAGGAGGCACAUCAGAAAAUAUAAAAAAUAAAAAAUACUCAUUCAGUUGGAUUAUAAUGUCCCUGAAGCCUGUGGACCCAUGCAAGCCAACUGUGAGAAGGCUUAAGGAGCAGGCUCCACACCCAGCAUGGAGCCCAACACAGCGCUUGAACUCACAACCCUGUGAUUAAAACCUGAGCUGAGAUCAAGAGUUGGAUGCUUAACCAACGGAACCACCCCAAAUUUCAACUUUUCAUACUAAUUGUGAAUGAGACACUUCAUUCCAUUCUGUUUCUGAGAGAGAAUCGUUAUCCUAAAGUAAAUAAUUGACCUUACUUUUAUAUUAAAUUUGUGAUUACUUUAAUGAAUUCUUUUGUCUUGACAUAAUUUUUAUUUGAAUUGUUCAUAUUUUUAGGGUUUAUAAUUAUAUCAAUUACAAAUAAUUAUAAGUUUAUUUCCUUCUUGC
ensembl:lincRNA